rnacentral:rRNA from 1 species
UACGUAGGUGGCGAGCGUUGUCCGGAAUCACUGGGCGUAAAGGGCGCGUAGGCGGCAAUACAAGUCGCAUGUGAAAGACCAGGGCUCAACCUUGGGAGGUCAUGCGAAACUGUAUAGCUUGAGUGUAGUAGAGGGAAGCGGAAUUCCUGGUGUAGCGGUAAAAUGCGUAGAGAUCAGGAGGAACACCGGUGGCGAAGGCGGCUUUCUGGGCUACAACUGACGCUGAGGCGCGAAGGCGUGGGGAGCAAACAGG